GCUCCAGCUCAAACCAGCGCUGAUCGGUUUACUCCGGGAGCCGGCGCCACUCGCCUAUUGUGACGUCACCGUCCGGCUGUGGUCGGGGCUGCGCUGGCAGGAAGGCGGUAUCCGAGCGUAUGAGGGGAAAGGAGUGAACGUACAUCACAGGAGGAAGCCCAGCGAUUCAGGAAGUAAUUUUACUUUACUGGCUCUGUGAUCUGAUACGAUAUGUCCUUCUCAGGCAAUACCAGUGGAUUACGGUGGAGAUAAUCAAUGGAUCAGACAACCAUUUGUCUGUCAGUUUCUACUGUACAAGUAAAGACAUGCGCUCCUGACAGAUCCUCUUUGCUGCAUCGCAUUUAAGAGAAAAGUUUACAACGUCAA